GUGCGUGGACGUCGGCGGCCUACUGCGUCGACAGGUUGUUCAAAUUCAUUUGUGGCUUGUUUUUCUUGUCUUUUUCUGUUUUGCAGGGUUCGUGAUCGUCGACAGGUGGACAUCGACUUCGAAGAGGAAACAACUGUCCUGGAUGAGGUCCAGUUGGAUGUGCCAUUGGAUGAUGUGCCAGAUGUUCCACAGCUGCCAGUCCUCUUGAUGUCCAGAAUGCUGCUAUCAUCCUUGAGGAUGUGCCAGAUGUGCAGACUAUCCUUGAGGAGGCCACUGGCAUUUGGCAGUUGAUUCUGAUUAGGUUCAGCCCCCAGUACUGUGGGCCUGUUGUGAUCAGGAACAAUGCCGGUCCGGUGGUU